GGCGCCGCCGCUGCGCAGCCGGGAAAUGGUUCGGGCCUAGCGGAGCCGGGACUGGAGCAACAUGAACCGUGAAGACCGGAAUGUGCUGCGUAUGAAAGAACGGGAAAGGCGGAAUCAGGAAAUUCAGCAGGGUGAAGACGCCUUCCCACCUAGCUCUCCUCUCUUUGCUGAGCCGUACAAAGUGACUAGCAAAGAAGAUAAGUUAUCAAGUCGUAUUCAGAGUAUGCUUGGAAACUACGAUGAAAUGAAGGAUUUCAUAGGAGACAGAGCUAUACCAAAGCUUGUUGCAAUUCCCAAGUCUACAGUACCACCGACAGCAGAUGAAAAAUCUAACCCAAAUUUCUUUGAACAGAGACAUGGAGGCUCUCAUCAGAGUAGCAAAUGGACUCCAGUAGGACCUGCACCCAGUACUUCUCAGUCUCAGAAACGGUCCUCAGGCUUACAGAGUGGACAUAGUAGCCAACGGACCAGUGCAGGUGGCAGUAGUGGCAUUAACAGUAGUAGCCAGUGGCAUGACCGCGACUCAUAUAGCAGUAGUGGGAGUAGUAGCCGUAAAAAAGGCCAGCAUGGAUCAGAAUACUCCAAAGCACGCUCUUCCAGCCCUGGAAAACCCCAGGCUGUUUCUUCACUAAGUUCCAGUCAUUCCAGGUCUCAUGGGAAUGAUCACCAUAGCAAGGAACACCAGCGUUCCAAGUCACCUCGGGACCCUGAUGCAAACUGGGAUUCUCCUUCCCGUGUACCCUUUUCCAGUGGGCAGCACUCAAGCCAGUCUUUCCCACCUUCGCUGAUGUCGAAGUCCAGUUCGAUGUUGCAGAAGCCCACUGCCUACGUGCGGCCCAUGGAUGGACAGGAGUCCAUGGAACCAAAGCUGUCCUCUGAGCACUACAGUAGCCAAUCCCAUGGCAACAGCAUGACUGAGCUGAAGCCCAGCACCAAGGCACAUCUCACCAAGCUGAAAAUACCUUCACAGCCACUGGAUGUAAGUCACACUUAGCAUUGUGAUUGUGUGAAGCAGUAGACUGUGAAAUUAGGAUUGAACUCGAACCGCCCUUUGCCUUACUAGUAAAGAGUA